rnacentral:lncRNA from 1 species
GUGCUUGCCUCUGAGGCUGUGCAUCAGCAGGAAGCUAACUCAGAAGCUGACAAGUCAGGACUCAGCAGGGACUGAGAUAUGGUGAGAAGGAGUCCCAGGAGGCGCCCUGGCCACUGUGCCACGUGCCUGCCCUGUAGUCUGCUCUCUGAGAUUGUACUUGUAAACAUCACUUGGCUGUCAAGUUCUAAAAUGCCGUGCUUUCAUUUGAGUCUUUUCAAAUUAAUUAACUGAUAAAAAAACAAUUUUGGUAAUUAAUGUAAACCAUCCAAUGCCAUACUCUCAAAGUGAAGUCUUUUACCCAGAUGCUCACUCCCACAUCCCAGAAUCCGUAACUGUUACAAAACUUGCGCGUGAACAUACAGAACUGUUCCUGCACACAUAAGCCCUGUGCUAGUCUGUUGGCUUUACAUAGAUUCCUUCAUCUAAUUCUCAUACAAACCGCCAAGGACAUCUUCCUUCUUUGGAGACCAUACUUGUUUUUCAGACAAGGACAUUUCAGACAAGGAAAUUGGGUCUUGAUAAUAAUUUAUGCAUGGUCUCACAAGCAGUUCAAUCAAAAUUCUACCCUAUGAAGCCCACUUAUAGACAUCAUGCACUUAACCAAAAAGCUCUGCCCUCUCCCAGGAGCUCCUCCCAUUUCAUACUGCCUAUCAGCACACAGAUGUCUUCAUGUCACAUCCGACAAUUAACAUAUGAGACCCAUAUUAACCCUGUACAUUCAUAUUAAAACACAUAGCUGCUUUCAAUCCUGUUCCCUGUGUCUGCCAAAGUGCAUUAUGAAUGCAAGAAACCUUUUGUGUGGGGAGUUGGACAUUAAGACUUUCAUAAAGUUACAUUUUGUGCUUUAUUUUAGAAAGAGGAAGUAUUACUGGAAUGGAGUUCCUUUUUAUUCUGGUCCUCAAUUAUACUUUUAUUAUAACCUUCAAAGUGUGUGCCUUCUCCUAAAUGCAAUCAAGAAUCUCACAAGGAAAAAAAAAGCAGCAAUGCCUUCAAACGUAUUUAACAAGACUUUAACAUGCAUUCUUAUUUUAUUCAACAUGCUUGCCUCCACCUACAUUUGA